CUUUCCAUUAAAUUUAUGUAUUUAUAAGCCUUAUUUCAAAGGAUUGUGAAUAGUCGAUAUGUCCGAGUGGUUGAGGAGACUGGCUCGAAUCCUGCUGUCGACGUUUGUUGACUGCAGCAUAUGUUGUUUUUUUUCCCUAAAACUAAUACACUAAAUAAUCAACUUUUGAUUCUUCAACUCCAAGUCAUUCCAAUUUCAGUUUCUUCCGAAUACAGCCAAAAGCAACAAAUAUGAUACCAAACUUAGAUCUCUUCCUUCUUGCAUUCGUUCAUGGCUCCUUCAUCGUGGCCAUCCUUCUUCUUGCUGUAUCACUUGUUUUCAUCAUUUUCUUUUCCACUUUUAUUUUUGGGCUCUUCUCUAUCAUUGUCGUGGAUUUGCUUGAUUUAUCACCAAAUAUUUCUUCGCGCUUACAAUCGGCCAAGGCAGAUGUUCAUUUAGGUUCGGUUGUGGUUCUUUGUGCAUUUUUGAAUCGUCUUGUUUCUAUUAUCCUAUCGCUAAAACCUUCUUUUGAUCGUUUUGUUUCAAAUUUUAAAUCAAAUGCACAUCGUUUAAUUAUGGAAUAUGUCGAUGCAUUUAAACAUACUUAAAGAUUCAAUUUUAGUUAAUUUCUUGUAAUUUGUUGUUGCUCAUGCUGUAAUUCAGCUAUUCAUCUUAUUAAUAAUAAAUCUAUACUGUGUAUGUACUAUCCUUA